rnacentral:rRNA from 1 species
CCUACGGGAGGCAGCAGUAGGGAAUUUUGCGCAAUGGGCGAAAGCCUGACCCAGCAACGCCGCGUGAACGAGACGCCCUUCGGGGUGUAAAGUUCUGUCAGUGGGGACGACAAAUGACGGUACCCACAGAGGAAGCACCGGCUAACUCCGUGCCAGCAGCCGCUGUAUUACGGAGGGUGGAAGCGUUGACCGGAAUCAUGGGGCGUAAAGACUUCGUAGGCGGCAUGGCAAGUUAGGUGGUAAAGGCGCAGGCUCAACCUGUGUAUGGCACUUGAUCCUUGCAAGCUGGAAUGCGGUAGAGGUAAAGGGAAUUCCUGGUGUAGCGGUGAAAUGCUUAGAUAUCAGGAGGAACAUCGGUGGCGUAAGCGCUUUACUGGGCCGUAAUUGACGCUGAGGAACGAAAGCCAGGGUAGCAAAUGGGAUUAGAGACCCUAGUAGUC